CAUGCGGUACUACCAUGCAGUCGAACGUGAUCCGCCCUUCGGGGUGGUGAAAGUGGCGCACGGGUGAGUAACGCGUGGAUAAUCUGCCCGAGGAUUUGGGAUAACAUCUCGAAAGGGGUGCUAAUACCGAAUAAGCCCACGGGGUCUACGGAUCUUGCGGGAAAAGGGGGGGACCUUCGGGCCUCCUGUCCUUGGAUGAGUCUGCGUACCAUUAGCUAGUUGGUGGGGUAAUGGCCUACCAAGGCGACGAUGGUUAGCUGGUCUGAGAGGAUGAUCAGCCACACUGGAACUGAGACACGGUCCAGACUCCUACGGGAGGCAGCAGUGGGGAAUUUUGCGCAAUGGGGGAAACCCUGACGCAGCAACGCCGCGUGGGUGAUGAAGGCCUUCGGGUCGUAAAGCUCUGUCUGGAGGGAAGAAAUGAUUGGGAGCUAAUACCUCUUGAUCUUGACGGUACCUCUGAAGGAAGCACCGGCUAACUCCGUGCCAGCAGCCGCGGUAAUACGGAGGGUGCAAGCGUUGUUCGGAAUUAUUGGGCGUAAAGCGCGUGUAGGCGGUCUUUUAAGUCUGAUGUGAAAGCCCCGGGCUCAACCUGGGAAGUGCAUUGGAAACUGGGAGGCUUGAGUACGGGAGAGGAGAGUGGAAUUCCUAGUGUAGGAGUGAAAUCCGUAGAUAUUAGGAGGAACACCGGUGGCGAAGGCGGCUCUCUGGACCGAUACUGACGCUGAGACGCGAAAGCGUGGGUAGCAAACAGGAUUAGAUACCCUGGUAGUCCACGCCGUAACGAUGAGUACUAGGUGUUGCGGGUAUUGACCCCUGC
rnacentral:rRNA from 1 species